rnacentral:rRNA from 1 species
UACGUAGGGUGCAAGCGUUUGUCCGGAAUUAUUGGGCGUAAAGAGCUCGUAGGCGGCCUGUCGCGUCGGCUGUGAAAACUCAGGGCUCAACCCUGAGCCUGCAGUCGAUACGGGCAGGCUAGAGUCCGGCAGGGGAGACUGAAUUCCUGGUGUAGCGGUGAAAUGCGCAGAUAUCAGGAGGAACACCGGUGGCGAAGGCGGGUCUCUGGGCCGGAACUGACGCUGAGGAGCGAAAGCGUGGGGGAGCGAACAGG